CAGUCGAGCGGUAGCACAGAGAGCUUGCUCUCGGGUGACGAGCGGCGGACGGGUGAGUAAUGUCUGGGAAACUGCCUGAUGGAGGGGGAUAACUACUGGAAACGGUAGCUAAUACCGCAUAACGUCGCAAGACCAAAGUGGGGGACCUUCGGGCCUCAUGCCAUCAGAUGUGCCCAGAUGGGAUUAGCUAGUAGGUGGGGUAACGGCUCACCUAGGCGACGAUCCCUAGCUGGUCUGAGAGGAUGACCAGCCACACUGGAACUGAGACACGGUCCAGACUCCUACGGGAGGCAGCAGUGGGGAAUAUUGCACAAUGGGCGCAAGCCUGAUGCAGCCAUGCCGCGUGUGUGAAGAAGGCCUUCGGGUUGUAAAGCACUUUCAGCGGCCUGGAAGGCGAUAAGGUUAAUAACCUUGUCGAUUGACGUUACCCGCAGAAGAAGCACCGGCUAACUCCGUGCCAGCAGCCGCGGUAAUACGGAGGGUGCAAGCGUUAAUCGGAAUUACUGGGCGUAAAGCGCACGCAGGCGGUCUGUCAAGUCGGAUGUGAAAUCCCCGGGCUCAACCUGGGAACUGCAUUCGAAACUGGCAGGCUAGAGUCUUGUAGAGGGGGGUAGAAUUCCAGGUGUAGCGGUGAAAUGCGUAGAGAUCUGGAGGAAUACCGGUGGCGAAGGCGGCCCCCUGGACAAAGACUGACGCUCAGGCGCGAAAGCGUGGGGAGCAAACAGGAUUAGAUACCCUGGUAGUCCACGCCGUAAACGAUGUCGAUUUGGAGGUUGUGCCCUUGAGGCGUGGCUUCCGGAGCUAACGCGUUAAAUCGACCGCCUGGGGAGUACGGCCGCAAGGUUAAAACUCAAAUGAAUUGACGGGGGCCCGCACAAGCGGUGGAGCAUGUGGUUUAAUUCGAUGCAACGCGAAGAACCUUACCUGGUCUUGACAUCCACAGAACUUAGCAGAGAUGCUUUGGUGCCUUCGGGAACUGUGAGACAGGUGCUGCAUGGCUGUCGUCAGCUCGUGUUGUGAAAUGUUGGGUUAAGUCCCGCAACGAGCGCAACCCUUAUCCUUUGUUGCCAGCGGUCAGGCCGGGAACUCAAAGGAGACUGCCAGUGAUAAACUGGAGGAAGGUGGGGAUGACGUCAAGUCAUCAUGGCCCUUACGACCAGGGCUACACACGUGCUACAAUGGCAUAUACAAAGAGAAGCGACCUCGCGAGAGCAAGCGGACCUCAUAAAGUAUGUCGUAGUCCGGAUUGGAGUCUGCAACUCGACUCCAUGAAGUCGGAAUCGCUAGUAAUCGUAGAUCAGAAUGCUACGGUGAAUACGUUCCCGGGCCUUGUACACACCGCCCGUCACACCAUGGGAGUGGGUUGCAAAAGAAGUAGGUAGCUUAACCUUCGGGAGGGCGCUAUAGC
rnacentral:rRNA from 1 species